GAUGGACGCUGGCGGCGUGCCUAAUACAUGCAAGUCGAGCGAACGGACGAGAAGCUUGCUUUUCUGAUGUUAGCGGCGGACGGGUGAGUAACACGUGGAUAACCUACCUAUAAGACUGGGAUAACUUCGGGAAACCGGAGCUAAUACCGGAUAAUAUUUUGAACCGCAUGGUUCAUAAGUGAAAGACGGUCUUGCUGUCACUUAUAGAUGGAUCCGCGCUGCAUUAGCUAGUUGGUAAGGUAACGGCUUACCAAGGCAACGAUGCAUAGCCGACCUGAGAGGAUGAUCAGCCACACUGGAACUGAGACACGGUCCAGACUCCUACGGGAGGCAGCAGUAGGGAAUCUUCCGCAAUGGGCGAAAGCCUGACGGAGCAACGCCGCGUGAGUGAUGAAGGUCUUCGGAUCGUAAAACUCUGUUAUUAGGGAAGAACAUAUGUGUAAGUAACUGUGCACAUCUUGACGGUACCUAAUCAGAAAGCCACGGCUAACUACGUG
rnacentral:rRNA from 1 species